UACAGGGGGUGCAAACGUUGCUCGGAAUUAUUGGGCGUAAAGCGCGCGUAGGCGGCUACUUAAGUCGGAUGUGAAAGCCCUUGGCUCAACUGAGGAAGUGCACCCGAAACUGAGUGGCUUGAGUACUAAAGAGGUCGCGGAAUUCCCGGUGUAGCGGUGGAAUGCGCAGAUAUCAGGAGGAACACCAAUAGCGAAGGCAGCUCGCUGGGACGUUACUGACACUGAGGCGCGAAAGCGUGGGGAGCGAACAGG
rnacentral:rRNA from 1 species